AUUGAACGCUGGCGGAAUGCUUUACACAUGCAAGUCGAACGGCAGCACGGACUUCGGUCUGGUGGCGAGUGGCGAACGGGUGAGUAAUGUAUCGGAACGUGCCCAGUCGUGGGGGAUAACGUAGUGAAAAUUACGCUAAUACCGCAUACGAUCUAUGGAUGAAAGCGGGGGAUCGCAAGACCUCGCGCGAUUGGAGCGGCCGAUAUCAGAUUAGGUAGUUGGUGGGGUAAUGGCCCACCAAGCCAACGAUCUGUAGCUGGUCUGAGAGGACGACGAGCCACACUGGAACGGGGACACGGUCCAGACUCCUACGGGAGGCAGCAGUGGGGAAUUGUGGACAAUGGGCGAAAGCCUGAUCCUGCCAUUCCGCGUGCAGGAUGAAGGCCCUCGGGUUGUAAACUGCUUUUGUACAGAACGAAAAGGUUUCUACUAAUACUAGGAGCUCAUGACGGUACUGUAAGAAUAAGCACCGGCUAACUACGUGCCAGCCGCCGCAGUAA
rnacentral:rRNA from 1 species